GUCGUAACAAGGUUUCCGUAGGUGAACCUGCGGAAGGAUCAUUAUCGGUUAGUCUGGUGUAAUGCUAGAUCAACGAUACCUACUCGGGACACUUGGGCUUCGGCCCAACGUUCUUGCGGUCUGACUUGUGUGUCAGGCUGGCAACGUAGUGAGUGCUGGCUGGCUUAGUGUCGGCUACGUACAAUCUACGGCUCAGCUUACGGCUGAGUUUGUGAUCUCCCCUUGAAGGGUUGUCGCAGCCUAACUUUGUUAGCUUCUACGGAAGUGCUCAGAUUCAUUUCUGAAAAUCCAAAUACAACACUAUACAGUGGAUCAUUUGGCUCAGGGGUCGAUGAAGAACGGAGCUAACUCCGAGAUGCCGUGUGAACUGCAGGACACAUGAACAUCGACACUUUGAACGCAUAUUGCGGAAAUAAGCUUGUCUUAUUUCCAUACCUGACUCAGGGUCGGUUUAACAUCUAUCAAGCUAUGCUUGAAUUGGAUAGUCUCUGGCCUGUUGGCUGGUGUUAUCCUAAGUUACUGUUGACUGAGUAUCUCAGACUCAACUCAUGGGAUCUUGCAAGUCCUGGGUUGCAAUCUGAAUUCAGCGCGACAUGUGUUACGACUGUUCUAUGUCGUAGUACGACCGAUCAUUUUUCGACCUGAGUUUAGGUAAGAAUACGGGCCGAAUUUAAGCAUAUUAAUAAGCCCAGGAAAAGAAAACAACUGUGAUUCCCUUAGUAAUGGCGAAUGAAACGGGAAUAGGCCAUCGCGGAACUGCAGGUCAUCUCUUGCCUCUCGGAAAGUGUCGCGUUUGGGAGAGUCUCCUCACGGUCUGGCUGGCAAGUCAAAGUCCAACUUGACAGUGGCCACUGCCCAUAGAGGGUGAUAGGCCCGUAAGGCUGCCGGCUGACUGUGGUGACUUUUCCCUCGAGUCGGGUUGCUUGGGAGUGCAGCCCAAAGUGUGAGGUAAACUCCUCAUAAGCCUAAAUAUCACCCUGAGACCGAUAGCAAACAAGUACGGUGACGGAAGAUUGAAAAGAACUUUGAAGAGAGAGUUCAAUAGUACGUGAAACUGUGUGGUGGUAAACGGAGGGGUUCUCGAAGUUUCUGUGGGGGACUCAGCCUUGAGCUGCGGCGGUCUGGUCGUAUCCAAUCAGCAAUGAUGGUGCGGCUUUUCCGGCUGUGGCUACGGGUGCAUUUCCCCUGCAGUUUACGACAGGAACCGUUACGAUCCAACCUAAGGCUCUGGGUGAAGUUACAGUCCUAGAUUGUAGCCCUGGAUGUUCUGGCUUGGAGUGUGACGGGUAGUUGAGGAGACUUGUAUAGCAAGCAGUGCUCUGCUGCGGUUUCCAUCUCUCUGUCGAGUAGGUCGGUGGCCCCUCCGACCCGUCUUGAAACACGGACCAAGGAGUCUAA
rnacentral:rRNA from 1 species